rfam:Hanseniaspora opuntiae strain AWRI3578 Hanseniaspora_opuntiae_AWRI3578_scaffold6, whole genome shotgun sequence.
GCUUCUUUAGCUCAGUAGGGAGAGCGCCAGACUGAAAAUCUGUAGGUCCCGCGUUCGAUCCGCGGAAGGAGCA